GCAAACAACUUCUACUCUAGGCAAAGUGACUUCCAACAAGACAGGGGUAAAAGAACCUGAGCUAGAGUCCAGACAACCAAAUCUGUUAAAGGUAGAAUAUGGUGAUGGGUGCUGUGCAAGAAGAAGGAGGGAAGAAGGAAGCUGAGUGUGCAGCAAAGACACCUGCAGGGACACAUAGAACCAGGCAUUUGCUGAAGGACACCUGGAUUGCACAACCAGCGGCUAACUUGCAUGAAAAAACAUUCUAGGUGGUUUUGCUUAAUGUUGGUCUCUCCAACUGUGCUACAAGCUCCAUGAGGUGAAGGACCAAGUUAAUUGUGUCUUCCAUGGUAUGUCCCAGUCCUGCCACUUUAGGCAUUUUAAAUAUUUGCUGAAUAUUGUUUGAAUAAAUAAUUUGUGGAGAAUUGGAAGAGAUUUGUGGGAUAAAUAUUUUUAUAUGGCAUGUGGUUGAACCUGCAUAUGCUUUUCUAUUUUAACAAUAUUGUCAUUGGGACUGUAGAAUUUGACUCAUAAACAUCACUUUGCUUUUCUUGGAAUUCUAAUUCAUAUUUACAGUUUCAAAUGUCACCUCUCUUUUAAGUUCCACGUCAACAUAUUUGCCUAAUCCUUGGAUGUCCUGCCAUUUGAACUUGAAAUGUCUAAAAUCUAAUUUGUCAUUUUUUAAAACUGACUCAAAUAAUAAUCUCACGUGUUUCCUAUGUUCUAGGUCAGAAAAUUGUACACAACUUAAAUUUUUCCUUUUGCUUCCUAUGUCUGUUCAUAACUAUAUCUUAUUAGCCAUGAAGUUGUGUUUUUCUGUUCCUUUUUAUAUUUUUUGCAUAUUCAUUUCUUUUCCAUCCCUGUCCUGGAAGCCCUGACUACCUGACAACCACUACAUCCUGGUUCCCUUGGCUUUCCUUUCUCUUCUUUCCAG
rnacentral:lncRNA from 1 species